rnacentral:rRNA from 1 species
GACGAACGCUGGCGGCGUGCUUAACACAUGCAAGUCGAACGGAAAGGCCCUGCUUUUGUGGGGUGCUCGAGUGGCGAACGGGUGAGUAACACGUGAGUAACCUGCCCUUGACUUUGGGAUAACUUCAGGAAACUGGGGCUAAUACCGGAUAGGAGCUCCUGCUGCAUGGUGGGGGUUGGAAAGUUUCGGCGGUUGGGGAUGGACUCGCGGCUUAUCAGCUUGUUGGUGGGGUAGUGGCUUACCAAGGCUUUGACGAGUAGCCGGCCUGAGAGGGUGACCGGCCACAUUGGGACUGAGAUACGGCCCAGACUCCUACGGGAGGCAGCAGUGGGGAAUAUUGCACAAUGGGCGGAAGCCUGAUGAAGCAACGCCGCGUGCGGGAUGACGGCCUUCGGGUUGUAAACCGCUUUCGCCUGUGACGAAGCGUGAGUGACGGUAAUGGGUAAAGAAGCACCGGCUAACUACGUG